rnacentral:rRNA from 1 species
AUUGAACGCUGGCGGCAGGCCUAACACAUGCAAGUCGAACGGUAACAGGAAGAAGCUUGCUUCUUUGCUGACGAGUGGCGGACGGGUGAGUAAUGUCUGGGAAACUGCCUGAUGGCGGGGGAUAACUACUGGAAACGGUAGCUAAUACCGCAUAACGUCGCAAGCCCAAAGAGGGGGACCUUCGGGCCUCUUGCCAUCGUAUGUGCCCAGAUGGGAUUAGCUCGUAGGUGGGGUAACGGCUCACCUAGGCGCCGAUCCCUAGCUGGUCUGAGAGGAUGACCAGCCACACUGGAACUGAGACACGGUCCAGACUCCUACGGGAGGCAGCAGUGGGGAAUAUUGCACAAUGGGCGCAAGCCUGAUGCAGCCAUGCCGCGUGUAUGAAGAAGGCCUUCGGGUUGUAAAGUACUUUCAGCGGGGAGGAAGGGAGUAAAGUUAAUACCUUGGCUCAUUGACGUUACCCGCAGAAGAAGCACCGGCUAACUCCGUG